AAAUCAUGGUGAUGAUAAAUGAUAGUCAUUUUCCACUGUUUGAAACCAAGAAAGCAAAGGGCAGCUUAAUUUACAAGCUCUUUGCAGUCUCAAACUUUUUUGGAAUCAUUUUCAUUUGGAUUUACAGAGCAACUCAUAUUGCAGGAUUUACAGAUGGUGGAAAACUCGUAUGGAUUGGAAUGUUUGGAGCCGAACUGUGGUUCGGUCUUUACUGGAUUUUCACUCAAGCUCUUCGUUGGAACCGUGUUUAUCGCCAGACUUUCAAAAACAGGCUCGCUGAGAGGUUUCUCCUCUUCUUCCAAUAUUUUAUUUGUUUAUAUUACACACACACCAAAAUGAAAUAAGAGCAUGUUUGGCUAAGCCUUUUUGCCAUCUUGUUUUGGCCCACUUACUGCCUAAAUCAGUCAAGAAGCAUCUGCUUAAAAGCUUAGCCACACUUGCUUAAAUCUGCUAGUCCUACAUUUAUUCUUUCCCUGCAUAGUUUCGGUGAUCGUGUGGUAGUAAUAUUCUUGUCCAGCUUUUUAACAUGUUGAUGAACAGGCACGAAAAUGACUUGCCUGAGGUGGAUAUUUUUGUUUGCACUGCUGACCCGACAAUUGAGCCACCAAUGAUGGUGAUCAAUACUGUUCUAUCAGUUAUGGCGUAUGAUUAUCCAACGGAGAAACUCAGUGUGUAUCUCUCAGACGAUGCUGGCUCGGAUCUUACUUUCUAUGCCCUCCUGGAGGCUUCAUACUUGGCCAGGCAUUGGUUACCUUAUUGCAAAA
rnacentral:lncRNA from 1 species